rnacentral:rRNA from 1 species
UAUUGGUCAAUGUACGAAAGUCUGAACCAGCCAUGCCGCGUGGAGGAUGAAGGUCCUCUGGAUUGUAAACUUCUUUUAUAUGGGACGAAAAAAGGCCUUUCCAGGUCGUCUGACGGUACCAUAUGAAUAAGCACCGGCUAACUCCGUGCCAGCAGCCGCGGUAAUACGGAGGGUGCAAGCGUUAUCCGGAUUCACUGGGUUUAAAGGGUGCGUAGGUGGGUUGAUAAGUCAGUGGUGAAAUCCCCGAGCUUAACUUGGGAACUGCCAUUGAUACUAUUGAUCUUGAAUACCGUGGAGGUCAGCGGAAUAUGUCAUGUAGCGGUGAAAUGCUUAGAUAUGACAUAGAACACCAAUUGCGAAGGCAGCUGGCUACGCGAAUAUUGACACUGAGGCACGAAAGCGUGGGGAUCAAACAGG